rnacentral:rRNA from 1 species
UUCCGGUUGAUCCUGCCGGACCUGACUGCUAUCGGAUUGAUACUAAGCCAUGCGAGUCAUUGUAGCAAUACAAGGCAUACGGCUCAGUAACGCGUAGUCAACCUAACCUAUGGACGGGAAUAACCUCGGGAAACUGAGUAUAAUGAUCCAUAGUUCACUACGCCUGGAACGGUGAGUGGAUGAAAGCUCCGGCGGCAUAGGAUGGGACUGCGGCCUAUCAGUUUGUUGGUGAGGUAAUGGCCCACCAAGACUAUUACAGGUACGGGCUCUGAGAGGAGUAGCCCGGAGAUGGGUACUGAGACACGGACCCAGGCCCUAUGGGGCGCAGCAGGCGAGAAAACUUUGCAAUGUGCGAAAGCACGACAAGGUUAAUCCGAGUGGUUUCUGCUAAAGGAACCUUUUGUCAGUCCUAGAAACACUGAUGAAUAAGGGGUGGGCAAGUUCUGGUGUCAGCCGCCGCGGUAAAACCAGCACCUCAAGUGGUCAGGAUGAUUAUUGGGCCUAAAGCAUCCGUAGCCGGCUCUGUAAGUUUUCGGUUAAAUCUGUACGCUCAACGUACAGGCUGCCGGGAAUACUGCAAAGCUAGGGAGUGGGAGAGGUAGACGGUACUCGGUAGGAAGGGGUAAAAUCCUUUGAUCUAUUGAUGACCACCUG